UGUGUAAGUGCACGUGUGUAAGUGCACAUGUGUGUAAGUGCCUGCAGAGGCCAGAGACGUCACAUCCCCUGGACUUGGUGUUCCAGGUGGUUUGUACACUUCCGGAUGUGGGAGCAGGAACAGGAACUAAACUCUGGCCUCGACAAGAGCAGUAUGUAUGACCUCAGCCACCUCUCCACCACAAUCCCGUAUCUUUUCUAACUUUUUCCUUCCAUGCUUUUCCAUGAUCAGACAAGAGGUAACCAAUUAAGAAUUGGGAUUUUUAUAGAGAGGAAGGAAAACCUUUCGACGGAGGAGAAAGGGAGUAAGUCUUUACACAACUGUGAAGUUCACGGAAAUCUAAAAGUUCUAUAAAGAUUCAGUGAAUCGAACUGGAGUUAUCAGUUAAAUGAGAAUUCUAAUUUUUAAUACUUGUUUUCUCAUUGUUGGAACUGCUUUGUUCAGAGUCAGUGUUAAUAUAAUCACGAGAGCCAACAGUUCCAUUAAAGGAACACUUGGUUGCUCCACUUCUAUUAUCUCAAAAUGCAUCCCCUAUUACUGUCCUCUUUAAUAUCAGCUCUCUUCUGAAAUGAAUGCCAGAAAAGUCCCCUCCACCUCCUAUUGCAAAAUUAAUUACUUUUCCAUUUGUUCUCUAUCUCUCUUGCUCCAGGGGAGACCUCUAAAUAUGCAAACUACUUAUCCAGGAAUGGUGUCACCAUGCUGAGCCUCUAAUGGACCUAAAAAACCAACAUCUCUACUUGAAUGCUAUGGAAAUUAAAAACAAGCUACAUAUGAUUAUACUUUCAUGUGCUUAUUUUUCUUUUUCCCCUCUAGCCAGAAGUAAAAGUGAAGAUGAAAAGAGAGAAGUAUGACUUCAAGUGGUAUUGUCUCUGGAAACACUGAGAAACUUGUAUUUUUAGAGGGGUCUAAUCAGGCAUGCACUAUCUUCUACUGUCUUUGGAAAAAGCUUCCAUUUGAAUGCUUCUUAUGUACCCUGACUUCCUAAAGUUAGAUCCAGUGCUUAUGACGGGUAGCCGAGUUUGCCUUCAGAUACAGUCCUGAAUCAAGUCGUCCUAUGGAGGAACCAGAUGUUCCCGAUAAUUCAACUAAGGAAAAUAUAAAUUGCUGAGACAAUAAAAAUGUGCAAGAUGUGAGUUCUCAGCAUCCUGUUCCAGCUGCCAUGGCAGCCUGUUACCUCCAAUCAACCAUUAUGGACUCUGACCCUCUGGAACCAUACGCCAAAAUAAACUCUUUCUUCUCUA